GUUUCCAAUAUACCUUUGGUGUAAACAAGUCUUUUGGACCUUAAAACUAAACUCUUCUGAUGUUCUAAAAAAUAUCGAACCUAACGAUACCGGAAUUGGCGUCUGCAAAGUCUCCCUUCUCUUCAGUCUUUCACCUCACUCAUGGGAGCACCAAAUACCGACUCCUCCUCCUCCUUUCUCUCCGACAGAUCCGCCAAGAUCUUCGUCGCCGGCCACCGCGGCCUAGUCGGAUCCGCCAUCGUCCGCAAAUUGAUUUCACUCAACUUCACUAACCUCAUCCUUCGCACCCACGCCGAGCUAGAUCUAACUCGUCAAUCCGAUGUCCACGCUUUCUUCGCCGCGGAGAAGCCGGAUUAUGUCAUCCUUGCAGCCGCAAAAGUCGGCGGCAUCCACGCCAACAACACUUACCCCGCCGAUUUCAUCGCCAUCAAUCUCCAAAUCCAGACCAACGUCAUCGAUUCUUCGUUCCGUCACGGCGUUAAGAAACUCCUUUUCCUCGGCUCCUCUUGCAUUUACCCUAAAUUCGCUCCGCAACCGAUUCCCGAGUCGGCGCUGUUGACUGGCCCGUUAGAACCGACUAACGAGUGGUACGCCGUGGCUAAAAUCGCUGGUAUUAAAAUGUGCCAAGCGUAUCGGAUUCAAUACAACUUUGACGCGAUUUCGGGGAUGCCUACGAACUUGUACGGACCGAACGAUAAUUUUCAUCCCGAAAAUUCUCACGUAUUGCCCGCAUUGAUGCGGAGAUUUCACGAAGCUAAAGUUAAAGGAGCUAAAGAAGUGGUAGUGUGGGGAAGUGGCAGUCCAUUGAGGGAAUUCUUGCACGUGGAUGAUUUGGCGGAUGCGUGUGUGUAUUUGAUGGAGAAUUAUGGAGGUUUGGAACAUGUGAAUGUGGGUAGCGGGAAGGAGGUGACUAUUAAGGAGUUGGCUGAGUUGGUGAAGGAGGUUGUGGGAUUUGAGGGAGAGCUUGUUUGGGAUUCUUCGAAGCCGGAUGGGACGCCAAGGAAGUUGAUGGACAGUUCCAAGCUGGCGGACAUGGGAUGGAGGCCAAAGAUUGAGCUUAAAGGUGGACUUGUUGAUACAUACAAGUGGUACUUGGAGAAUGUGUAGCAAUGAUAGCAGUGGUGAUCAAAUAUUGGGAGUCAGAAAUGGACAAAAGGCAUCAAGCUUCGGAGUAUUGUCUCAUUGACUGUAUUCUUCUUCCAGCUAUUUCAGGUUUCUAUUGUUGCACAGCGUAAAUAAUCUCCUUUACGCUGUGUGCGUGUAUGCAUUUCUGGUCUCAGACUAGCACAUGACAAAUUACUGGACCAAUGAGCAGUUGUGUAACAUCUACAUAUGCUUCUCUUCCUUCCCAAGGAAAACGGCUAUGUCCUCUAAGUUUUAUGACAUGGCAAGCCAGAAUUUGAGUCUUCAUGGAGGUUUGGAAGAAACCUUGAAAAAAUUUCGGGGGAUUUCGGUGAGUGGAUUUGGUGAGGAGGUACAAAAAUUUAAAAGCAGGAGAUGAAGACGGCUACAAAAAUGUACCGCCAGGGUAAGCGAAUUAAGUGAUUUUGACAUUUUCACUCCAAAUUAGGUUAAAUAGGGCAAUGAUAAUUAUCUUUUUUUAUAAUUUAAACCGAGUCAAACUCAAAUUGGAGCUCUAAUUUAACAAUUCAAUUCGAGUUUGGUUUGUUCGUUCCUCUGGUGAUACUAUUCACCUCACGUGAUAAUACUAUUUACUCAUUUGAUGACAUGAUUUAACCCUUAA